GACGAACGCUGGCGGCGUGCCUAAUACAUGCAAGUCGAACGCAUUUUCUUUCACCGUAGCUUGCUACACCGAAAGAAAAUGAGUGGCGAACGGGUGAGUAACACGUGGGUAACCUGCCCAUCAGCGGGGGAUAACACUUGGAAACAGGUGCUAAUACCGCAUAAUUCCAUUUACCGCAUGGUAAAUGGAUGAAAGGCGCUUUUGCGUCACUGAUGGAUGGACCCGAGGUGCAUUAGCUAGUUGGUGGGGUAACGGCCUACCAAGGCUGCGAUGCAUAGCCGACCUGAGAGGGUGAUCGGCCACACUGGGACUGAGACACGGCCCAGACUCCUACGGGAGGCAGCAGUGGGGAAUCUUCGGCAAUGGACGCAAGUCUGACCGAGCAACGCCGCGUGAGUGAAGAAGGUUUUCGGAUCGUAAAACUCUGUUGUUAGAGAAGAACAAGGAUGAGAGUGGAAAGUUCAUCCCUUGACGGUAUCUAACCAGAAAGCCACGGCUAACUACGUG
rnacentral:rRNA from 1 species